rnacentral:rRNA from 1 species
UCGCAGGCUGCAACUCGCCUGCGUGAAGUUGGAAUUGCUAGUAAUCGCGGAUCAGCAUGCCGCGGUGAAUACGUUCCCGGGCCUUGUACACACCGCCCGUCACACCAUGGGAGUUUGUAACACCCGAAGUCAGUAUCCUAACCGCAAGGGGGGAGCUGCCGAAGGUGGGAUAAGCGACUGGGGUGAAGUCGUAACAAGGUACC